AACGACGCUGGCGGCAGGCCUAACACAUGCAAGUCGAGCGAGGUAGCAAUACCUAGCGGCGGACGGGUGAGUAACGCGUGGGAACGUACCCUUUGCUACGGAAUAGCCCCGGGAAACUGGGAGUAAUACCGUAUGUGCCCUUCGGGGGAAAGAUUUAUCGGCAAAAGGAUCGGCCCGCGUUGGAUUAGGUAGUUGGUGGGGUAAUGGCCUACCAAGCCGACGAUCCAUAGCUGGUUUGAGAGGAUGAUCAGCCACACUGGGACUGAGACACGGCCCAGACUCCUACGGGAGGCAGCAGUGGGGAAUCUUAGACAAUGGGCGCAAGCCUGAUCUAGCCAUGCCGCGUGAGUGAUGAAGGCCUUAGGGUUGUAAAGCUCUUUCAGAUGGGAAGAUAAUGACGGUACCAUCAGAAGAAGCCCCGGCUAACUCCGUG
rnacentral:rRNA from 1 species